UGGGGAAUAUUGCACAAUGGGGGAAACCCUGAUGCAGCAACGCCGCGUGCGGGAUGACGGCCUUCGGGUUGUAAACCGUUUUCAGCCAUGACGAAGCUCUUGUGACGGUAGUGGCAGAAGAAGCACCGGCUAACUACGUGCCAGCAGCCGCGGUGAUACGUAGGGUGCGAGCGUUGUCCGGAAUUAUUGGGCGUAAAGAGCUUGUAGGCGGUUUGUGGCGUCGAAAGGGUAAACUCAGUGCUUAACGCUGAGGCUGCUUUCGGUACGGGCUGACUAGAGGAAGGUAGGGGAGAAUGGAAUUCCCGGUGGAGCGGUGGAAUGCGCAGAUAUCGGGAGGAACACCAGUGGCGAAGGCGGUUCUCUGGACCUUUCCUGACGCUGAGAAGCGAAAGCGUGGGUAGCAAACAGG
rnacentral:rRNA from 1 species